rnacentral:rRNA from 1 species
GAUGAACGCUGGCGGCGUGCCUAAUACAUGCAAGUCGAGCGAACCACUUCGGUGGUGAGCGGCGAACGGGUGAGUAACACGUAGGUGAUCUGCCCAUCAGACGGGGACAACGAUUGGAAACGAUCGCUAAUACCGGAUAGGACGAAAGUUUAAAGGUGCUUCUGGCACCGCUGAUGGAUGAGCCUGCGCCGCAUUAGCAGGUUAGUCGGGAAAGGCCUACCAAGGUGACGAUGAGUAGCCGACCGGAGAGGUUGAACGGCCACACUGGGACUGAGACACGGCCCAGACUCCUACGGGAGGCAGCAGUAGGGAAUCUUCGGCAAUGGGCGAAAGCCUGACCGAGCGACGCCGCGUGAAUGAUGAAGGCCUUCGGGUUGUAAAAUUCUGUUAUAAGGGAAGAACGACUUUAGUAGGAAAUGGCUAGAGUGUGACGGUACCUUAUGAGAAAGCCACGGCUAACUACGUGCCAGCAGCCGCGGUAAAAC